rnacentral:lncRNA from 1 species
CUGGAUCGACCGAUCCCAGGCUUUCAUACACGAGAUCGACCGAUCCGAGCCAUGUGGAUCGACCGAUCUCAGGCGCUACGGGCUCCACACGCACAAACGAGCUUUUCACUCCUUUUUACCCACUCCCCUCAAUAAUUCACAGAAGAACUCGACUUUGGAGACUCAGAAAAGACCAGGGGCGACCAAGGAGGAGAUUUACAAGUUCUAGAGAGAAGAUUUGAGUGUUUUGUACUUGUUUUGGUGUGAUUUGUGAAGAUUUGUAAAGGAGUUCAUCUCAAAACCAUUUGGAGAAGAUCUUCUGAACCUUUACUCUGUUUUAAUACAAUCUUAUCAUGUUUUCUUCAUCAAAA